GACGGAUGGGGCUAGCGUUGUUCGGAAUACUGGGCGUAAAGGGCGCGUAGGCGGCCAUUUAAGUUAGACGUGAAAGCCCUGGGCUUAACCUAGGAACAGCGUUUAAUACUGGAUGGCUAGAGUAUGGUGGAGGAAAGCGGAAUUCCUAGUGUAGAGGUGAAAUUCGUAGAUAUUAGGAAGAACACCAGAGGCGAAGGCGGCUUUCUGGACCGAUUACUGACGCUGAGGCGCGAAAGCCAGGGGAGCAAACGGG
rnacentral:rRNA from 1 species